CCUACGGGAGGCAGCAGUGGGGAAUAUUGCACAAUGGGGGAAACCCUGAUGCAGCGACGCCGCGUGAGUGAAGAAGUAUUUCGGUAUGUAAAGCUCUAUCAGCAGGAACGAGACAAGACGGUACCUGACUAAGAAGCCCCGGCUAACUACAUGCCAGCAGCCGCGGUAAUACGUAGGGGGCAAGCGUUAUCCGGAAUCACUGGGGGGAAAGGGAGCGUAGACGGCGGUUCAAGCCUGAAGGGAAAGGCGGGGGCCCAACCCCUGGACUGCUUUGGGAACUGUACGGCUGGAGUGCAGGAGAGGUAAGUGGAAUUCCUAGUGUAGCGGUGAAAUGCGUAGAUAUUAGGAGGAACACCAGUGGCGCAGGCGGCUUACUGGACUGUAACUGACGUUGAGGCUCGAAAGCGUGGGGAGCAAACAGGAUUAGAUACCCUAGUAGUC
rnacentral:rRNA from 1 species